rnacentral:lncRNA from 1 species
GCGUAGCGCUUCGCGGAUCGAAUCGCGUCGAUGCCAAUUGCACUUAGCGAGCGCCGCUUCUUGUGAUAAUUGCUCGCCAGAAAAGCCUUCACGAAAAAUGUUCCUCGCGAGCGCUCGCGGCCAGUAGCUCGCGGUCACUCUCCGCGGCCACUCGCUUAGCGGCCAUCUCUUUAUGUCCUCACUCGCGGCCAGUCGCUGAUGUCUCCGUGUGCGACGCUCGCGGUCACUCGCUUUCGCUUGCGGUCAGUCUUCGCGCCAAUUUGCUCGCGGGGAAUUGGCUUCGCUCUCGCGGCCAUCUCUUCGCAGUCGCUUGCCUUCGCUCGCGACCAUCGCUUAGCGGUCACUUGCUCUCGCUCGCGGCCAGUCUCUUAGUGGUCGCUUACUUAUGCGGACAAACGCUCGCGGCCACUCGCUGAUGCGCCG